AGCUCUUUGGAAGAGGUGGGGUUUAAACACUGAUAUCUGAUGUGAUCUUCUUUAACUUCGUGUCUGUUAGAGAGAGAAUAAGAAACACACAAUGAGUCUCUAUUCUGUCAUUCUGCUUUCUGCCUUUGCAUAUGCAGCUUAUGGAAAUGAAAUCAAUCCAACCAAAACAGAGGUCUUUGCUGAUGAGGGUUCAAGUGUUACAUUAUCCUGCAGUUAUUCAUCUGCAUUUAAUCUUCACUGGUAUCGUCAGUAUCCUGGAUCAGCUCCUGGAUCAGCUCCUGAGUUCAUUGUGCUCAUCUCAGAUGGUUCAAAACAAACUAAGGAUUCCUAUGUAGAUUCUAGAUUCACAACCAAAGUCACUAAAGUCAGUAAAGAAAAUCUUGUGGAUCUGGAGAUCUCCUCUGCAUCUAUAACAGACUCUGCUCUGUACUACUGCGCUCUGGAGCCCACAGUCACAGGAAACACAAGAACACUGCACAAAAACCUGACACAUACCCAACACCCAUAUCUGCUGUUUACACUAGAGAACACCCCUCGAUUCAACAAAAAACAGUGA